UUGGUGCCUUCGGGAACUCUGUUGAGACAGGUGCUGCAUGGCUGUCGUCAGCUCGUGUCUGUGAAAUGUUGGGUUAAGUCCCGCAACGAGCGCAACCCUUAUCCUUUGUUGCCAGCGGUUAGGCCGGGAACUCCAAGGAAACUGCCAGUGAUAAACUGGAGGAAGGGGGGGAUGAACUCAAGUCAUCCUGGCCCUUACCAGUAGGGCUACCCCCCUGCUACAAUGGCGCAUACAAAGAGAAGCGACCUCCCGAGAGCAAGCGGACCUCAUAAAGUGCGUCCUAUUCCGGAUUGGAGUCUGCAACUCCACUCC
rnacentral:rRNA from 1 species